rnacentral:rRNA from 1 species
AUGUGCGUGGCGCAAUGCACAACUAAACUGCUCAUUCUCGUCUUCUCCUCCUCUUUGGGUGGACAAGGACAGUGGCAUGCGCAUACAUUUGAUCAAUGGAGUGGUCAGGCUACAUCUGCUUCCGAUGGUUCAUUUAUCCACUCUCAUGGUGGGUUGUCCAAUCGUCAAUUCGUCCACGGAUGCUUCUAUUGGCAUUUGCAUUUUCGGAACGAGUUGCUUGUGCUGGACGUGCGUGCAAUGGAGUUGUCUGCCAUCAACCUCCCACCUGAACGAGGGACUAACAGUUUUGCCCUUGUUGAGGCAGCAGAAGGGAUGCUCGGAAUUCUCACUGAAGGCUAUGGCGAGGACCACGAUAGUGACCCAUUUUGGCUCACGUAUUCUAUUCUGAGAAAUAACCAAUGGCACUGGAACAAGGUCAUCCAAUUGCCAGUAAACGAUGCUGCUCUUGUUGGUGUAGCCGGGGGAUACCUGCUCCUAGAAGCGUUGUACACCACAACUGCACAAGAGACGCUGAAAUUUGGAUGUUUUUCCGUGGCCGUCAAGACAUUGCAGGUCGAGUUUUUCGCUGAGCUUAGCAAACCAUUCAUGUAUGCUCGACUAUAUGCUGGUUUCCCACCAUCAUUGUGUGCACCAACUAUUUGA